AAACAGCCUUGAGAUCUUAGGCAGCGUCUCCCUCAGGUCCCUCUCUAUCUCCCCACACAUCCACCAACCACUGGAACACAUCUCCAAAGUUCUGCCGGGCCAGCUCAGCUUCCCCUCAGAAGAAGUGCUGCCACCUGCCAGAUGAAGGAGCCUUUUGAGAGGCAGCUGGCAUCGUGAUUGGACUGUACUUUGGUCUGUUCCAAUCCAGCUUCAGCUCCAGAGACGGCAGGCGGGACGAGUCAACGGAGGCCGGGUGGACGAAGGCAUGAAACCAAAGAACUACAGACUCUUCACAACCUGCUCAAACUC
ensembl:lncRNA